GACGAACGCUGGCGGCGUGCCUAAUACAUGCAAGUCGAACGAGAGCGACCGGUGCUUGCACUGGUCAAUCUAGUGGCGAACGGGUGAGUAACACGUGGGUAACCUGCCCAUCAGAGGGGGAUAACAUUCGGAAACGGAUGCUAAAACCGCAUAGGUCUUCGAACCGCAUGGUUUGAAGAGGAAAAGAGGCGCAAGCUUCUGCUGAUGGAUGGACCCGCGGUGCAUUAGCUAGUUGGUGAGGUAACGGCUCACCAAGGCCGUGAUGCAUAGCCGACCUGAGAGGGUGAUCGGCCACAUUGGAACUGAGACACGGCCCAAACUCCUACGGGAGGCAGCAGUAGGGAAUCUUCCGCAAUGGGCGCAAGUCUGACGGAGCAACGCCGCGUGAGUGAAGAAGGUUUUCGGAUCGUAAAACUCUGUUGUUAGAGAAGAAUAAGUGCGAGAGUAACUGUUAGCGCCUUGACGGUAUCUAACCAGAAAGCCACGGCUAACUACGUG
rnacentral:rRNA from 1 species